CUGGCGGCAGGCCUAACACAUGCAAGUCGAACGCCCCGCAAGGGGAGUGGCAGACGGGUGAGUAACGCGUGGGAACGUGCCUUUCGGUUCGGAAUAGUCUCGGGAAACUGGGGUUAAUACCGGAUACGUCCUUCGGGAGAAAGAUUUAUCGCCGAAAGAUCGGCCCGCGUCUGAUUAGCUAGUUGGCGGGGUAAUGGCCCACCAAGGCGACGAUCAGUAGCUGGUCUGAGAGGAUGAUCAGCCACACUGGGACUGAGACACGGCCCAGACUCCUACGGGAGGCAGCAGUGGGGAAUAUUGGACAAUGGGCGCAAGCCUGAUCCAGCCAUGCCGCGUGAGUGAUGAAGGCCCUAGGGUUGUAAAGCUCUUUCGACGGGGACGAUAAUGACGGUACCCGUAGAAGAAGCCCCGGCUAACUUCGUGCCAGCAGCCGCGGUAAUACGAAGGGGGCUAGCGUUGUUCGGAAUCACUGGGCGUAAAGCGCACGCAGGCGGAUCGUUAAGUCAGGGGUGAAAUCCCGAGGCUCAACCUCGGAACUGCCUUUGAUACUGGCGAUCUUCGAGUCCGGGAGAGGUGAGUGGAACUCCGAGUGUAGAGGUGAAAUUCGUAGAUAUUCGGAAGAACACCAGUGGCGAAGGCGGCUCACUGGCCCGGUACUGACGCUCAGGUGCGAAAGCGUGGGGAGCAAA
rnacentral:rRNA from 1 species